rfam:Triticum aestivum genome assembly, contig: Triticum_aestivum_CS42_TGACv1_scaffold_146368_2BS
CACGUGCUCCCUCCGUUCGGAAUUACUUGUCUCGGAAAUGGAUGUAUCUAGCUAGAGCUAGAUACAUCCAUUUCCGAGACAAGUAAUUCCGAACGGAGGGAGCACGAG